CUGCCCGCCCGCCUCCAAGAUGGCCGCCCGGCCUUCACCGGGCGCUUCCGGCCCCGCUGAGGCCUCCUCCCGGUGGCUCGGCGCUCCCUUCGGCGGCCCCGCGGCGCUCGUUCCCUGGCGGGCCCCCGGCGGAGCGGGCCGGGGCCGGGCCAUGGCGCUGCUGCGGCUGCUGCUGCUCCGGGGGCGCUGCGCAUGGCCGCGGCCCGCCCCGCCGCCAGCCCCGGCUUGGGCACGGCCUCGCCCGCAGCCCCGGGGCCUGCAGAGCCUUCUGUCACAAACACUUUCCCCCACAUCUCAAGGUCUCAGUGGAGUCCUACUGAAACAACAAAUAAUUCGAGACCCUGUCAGGCUUUGGAAUCUCUUAGGUAGCACUUACUAUUUUAGUACUUCAAGUUCUCAAGGGAGUAACCAUAAGAAUGGAGGAUUCAAGAAGAAAUCUCCAAAGGAGGAUGAGGAGGAAGAGAAACGGAGGAAAAGGGAAAAUCAGAUGCACCUUGAACGCUUGCGGGCACUCCUCAUCGUAACUUUAAUAGUGCUGAUGUUUCGAUUCACGGUCAGCGAGAACAGAGAAGGGACCAACAUUUCCUGGAAUUAUUUCAUCAAUGAGAUGCUGUCAAAGGGGGAGGUCCAGAGAAUCGAAGUGGUUCCAGAAAGUGAUAUUGUAGAAAUUUAUCUGCACCCGGGAGGAACUCCGCAUGGACAAGUUAACGUUACCCUCUUGUACACAAUGCGGGUGGCAAACAUUGACAAAUUUGAAGAGAAGCUGAGAGCUGCGGAGGACGAGUUGAAUAUUGAUGAGAGAGAGAGAAUCCCUGUUUCCUACAAACACCCUGGCUUUUAUGGAAAUGAUGUCAUUUCCCUGAUAGUGACACUUGUGGCUGUGUCCAUGUUGUGGAGCAUCUUCCGUCUUAUUAGGGUCGCAGGCAGGGCAGGAGGAUUCAAUGCUUUUAACCAGCUGAAGAUGGCUCGUUUCACCAUUGUGGACGGAAAAUCCGGAAAAGGGAUUGGUUUCAAGGAUGUAGCAGGAAUGCAUGAGGCGAAAAUGGAAGUCAAAGAAUUUGUGGACUACUUAAAGAGUCCUGAUCGCUACCUUCAGCUUGGAGCUAAAGUGCCCAAGGGUGCCUUAUUGCUUGGGCCGCCGGGCUGUGGGAAGACGUUGCUGGCAAAGGCGGUGGCUACAGAAGCACAAGUACCGUUCCUGGCCAUGGCAGGCUCUGAAUUCGUGGAGGUGAUAGGAGGUCUUGGAGCUGCCCGAGUUCGGAGCCUCUUCAGAGAAGCCCAGGCUCGUGCACCCUGCAUCGUGUACAUUGAUGAAAUCGAUGCCGUGGGCAAGAAGCGCUCAACCAAUAUAUCUGGUUUUGCCAAUGCUGAGGAGGAGCAGACCUUAAACCAGCUGCUGGUAGAAAUGGAUGGAAUGGGGACCGCAGAUCACGUUAUAGUGCUGGCUUCCACCAACCGUGCUGAUGUCUUGGAUAAUGCCUUGAUGAGACCUGGGAGGCUUGACAGGCACAUCUUUAUUGAUCUUCCAACGCUCCAGGAGAGAAGAGAGAUCUUUGAGCAGCACCUGAAGGGUCUCAAACUGAUCCAAGACGCCAGCUUCUACUCGCAGCACCUUGCAGAACUGACUCCAGGCUUCAGCGGAGCUGACAUAGCAAAUAUAUGUAACGAAGCUGCUCUUCAUGCCGCUAGAGAAGGUCACAAAUCCAUUGAUACUUUCAACUUCGAGUAUGCCGUGGAACGAGUGAUUGCAGGCACUGCCAAAAGAAGUAAGAUCUUGUCACCAGAAGAGAGGAAGGUUGUGGCGUUCCAUGAAUCAGGUCACGCGUUGGUUGGCUGGCUGCUGGAGCACACGGAGGCAGUGAUGAAGGUUUCCAUAGCCCCUCGAACAAACGCAGCGCUUGGAUUCGCUCAGAUCCUUCCACGAGAGCAGUAUCUCUUCACCAAGGAGCAGCUGCUGGAGAGGAUGUGUAUGGCUCUGGGCGGGAGAGUGUCUGAGGCCAUCACCUUUAACAAAGUCACUACAGGAGCCCAGGACGACCUGAAGAAGGUGACCAAGAUCGCCUACUCCAUGGUGAAGCAGUACGGGAUGGUGCCCAGCAUCGGGCAGCUCUCCUUCCCCGAUGCGGAGAGUGCACCGGGAAUCGGUCGGCGCCCUUUCAGCCAGGGACUUCAGCAAAUGAUGGACCACGAAGCAAAAGUGCUGGUGGCUCAGGCUUACAGACGCACAGAAAAACUCCUGCUGGACAACCGGGAGAAGCUGCAAACAGUAAGUUGGAGUUCUCUGAGGUUUCUUUCACUGUUACUUUUGACCUUGAUAUUUUUUGGGCUCUGCAGCUUGGCUGUUGCAGCAUCUCUGUGGUCCUAGAAUAUCUCAUAGCAGAGAGAUUAACAUGCUGGAGUUUGCGUUGGGACUGCUGGGAAUAAGAGGCUGUUCGCUGCGUAUCCCCUAGGGUAGGGGAGGAGUGCUCUGUGCUGGAUGGAAGUGAUCAAACCCAGAACUUGCCUCCCUCACCUGUACUUCUGCGCUAGCCUCUCGGAAGUAUAACUUCGUGGAAAGCGGUGACCAUUCUUGUGAAGGCAAGAGCAGUUUGUCCUUCCAGGCUCUGUAGACAUAAAAGAAUUGGGUGAACAGUUUCUGGGGAUGGUGAAAGGACAAGGGACCUGUCACCUAGGCUGACUGGUGCUGACCCAUGCUCUCUGGUGGCUCCAGGCAGCUUUCGCCUGUCAUCUACUUGACUCCUGAUACAUCGAGGAGACCUUGUUGCAGAGGCAGAGCUUUGCCUCCUCUAAUUUGUGUCCUGGGAGCCCAUAGCCAGUCCCCGCCUCGCUGCCAGGACCUCUGCACCCAUCCUUUGGGGCUUGCAGCACCCCGUGUACCUCCGUGACCUUCCCUUCAAAAGCAGGGUCCGUAACAUGCAAACUAGCCAGGAGCCGACUUAACGUUGCAUGGUUUGCAAAUGAAGCAAUCCUUAAAUCUUCUUUUUAAACAACAACAAAGCCCAAAACACUUCCCUCUACCCAGCAGCAAGCCUCCUCUGCCUGGUAAGGUGGCCAGAACUGGCUCGGACACCCUGCUGUUCCCCGCAUCCCCGCUCUGUCCCCGGGACAGUGCCCCAGCAGCGCUCUGAGAGCGGGCGUUGUCGGGGGGUCUCCUCUCCGCAGGCCUCCUCUGUUCCGACGCUUUCAUUUAACAGCAGUCAGAUGGUUGCUAGAGGGUCAGCGGAGAAAAACCUUUUAAGUCAAGCCAAAGUAUCUACAGAGCGCUCCGUUUGCCGGGCCAGUGUGUCGCCUCUUGUCAGCAGAACGGGGCGGUUCGUGGGGGACAGCCACCUGCUGCUCGAGCGCGGCCCUGCUUGCAGAGGGGCUGGAGAGCUGGCGUUCCCGGGGAGGACCUUCCUGGUGACCCU